CCUACGGGUGGCAGCAGUGAGGAAUAUUGGUCAAUGGGCGCGAGCCUGAACCAGCCAUGUAGCGUGAAGGAUGACUGCCCUACGGGUUGUAAGCUUCUUUUAUAAAGGAAUAAAGUGAGGCACGUGUUCCUUUUUGUAUGUACUUUAUGAGUAAGGAUCGGCUAACUCCGUUCCAGCAGCCGCGGUAAUACGGAGGAUGCGAGCGUUAUCCGGAUUUAUUGGGUUUAAAGGGAGCGUAGAUGGGUUGUUAAGUCAGUUGUGAAAGUUUGCGGCUCAACCGUAAAAUUGCAUUUGAUACUGGCAGUCUUGAGUACAGUUGAGGUAGGCGGAAUUCGUGGUGUAGCGGUGAAAUGCUUAGAUAUCACGAAGAACCCCGAUUGCGAAGGCAGCUUACUAAACUGUGACUGACAUUGAUGCUCGAAAGUGUGGGUAGCAAACAGGAUUAGAUACCCUUGUAGUC
rnacentral:rRNA from 1 species